AGUUAUGUAUAUUUAGGUAAAAAGGCAGUUAAAUGUUAAAUAACUAUUCGAUUUACUAAUUUUUUAUAAAAAGGUAAAAUUUAAACAUAAAUAAAUAAUUUAGUGUAAGUCAAUUAAAGUUGAACCUGCGACAGCCUUGAGGGAAACUGGGAUUAGAUACCCCAUUAUUCUUGGUCGUAAAUAAAUGAUGAUUUACCAGAGUACUAUGAAUUAACUUAAUAAAAUUUAAAACUCAAAGGGCUUGGCGGUGUUUUAGACCUCUCAGGGGAACCUGUCUCAUAAUCGACAAUCCACGUUACACCUAACCUCUAUUUGCAAUUCAGUUUGUAUACCGUCGUCGUCAGGUAACUUUUAAAAAACAAGAAGUUGGCAAAAGAAUGAUUAUAAAUUUAAACGUCAGAUCAAGGUGCAGCUUAUAUAGAGGUGAGGAUGGGUUACAAUUAAAAAUUAUAACUACGAAUAAGAUAAUGAAACACUUUUUCUAAUGAAGGAGGACUUGAAAGUAAAAUAAAUUUAU
rnacentral:rRNA from 1 species